AGAGUUUGAUCAUGGCUCAGAACGAACGCUGGCGGCGUACUUAACACAUGCAAGUCGGACGAGAAAGGAGACUUCGGUCUCUGAGUACAGUGGCGCACGGGUGCGUAACACGUAAGUAAUCUACCCCGAACUCUGGGAUAACCCUCCGAAAGGAGGGCUAAUACCGGAUAGGGUCCCCGAGGUGUAGGCUGCGGGGGGAAAACGGGCCUCUGUUUCAUGCUCGUGGUUUGGGAUGAGCUUGCGGCCCAUUAGCUUGUUGGCAGGGUAACGGCCUACCAAGGCGACGAUGGGUAGCUGGUCUGAGAGGAUGAUCAGCCACACUGGCACUGAGACACGGGCCAGACUCCUACGGGAGGCAGCAGUGGGGAAUUUUGCGCAAUGGGCGAAAGCCUGACGCAGUAACGCCGCGUGGAGGAUGAAGGCCUUCGGGUUGUAAACUCCUGUCAGGGGGAACGACGGAGCGAGGAGGAUAAGUCUUCGCUUCCAGACGGUACCUCCAAAGGAAGCCCCGGCUAAUUCCGUGCCAGCAGCCGCGGUAAUACGGAAGGGGCAAGCGUUGUUCGGAAUCAUUGGGCGUAAAGGGCGCGUAGGUGGUUCUGUAUGUCUAUCGUGAAAGCGUACGGCUCAACCGUAUUUUGUCGGUAGAAACUGCAGGACUUGAGGCU
rnacentral:rRNA from 1 species